rnacentral:tRNA from 1 species
GCCGGUGUAGCUCAGGGGUAGAGCAUCGCAUUCGUAAUGCGACGGCCGUCGGUUCAAUUCCGACCACCGGCU